rnacentral:lncRNA from 1 species
CGAGCUCUUUCUCCUUGGCCUCGAGCGUAGGAGCAAAGUUAAGCGGGUUAAAGAUUCCACCAGGGUAACCGACUUCACCCUUAGGUAAGCUGUAUUGCUUAAAGAUAGGGUCUUGGUUCACACUUCCUGGGUUCUUGAUGUCUUGCCACCGUCUGAUCUCAACGUAAUGAAACAAAAUGAAUUCGAUCACGAACAAUGUCGACGAAGAUGCAAAGUACUGCUCUUUCCCAGCAUCGUACCACUCCGGAACAUUUAUGAUUCCUACCAACAUUAACAAUCCUUGUGUUAAGUUCUUGACAAAAAUAUUACAAACUGUUCUGUUUUAGGUCAUGUUAAUGAUGACUCACCGAUCUUGGUGAAAACUUCAGGCAAAAGCAUCCCAGCAACACCGAGCAUAGCCCAUCGUCCGUUGACCAGCUCUGCCUGGAUGAACCAUUUCAAGUUCUCUGGAUCCUCUGCUAGCCCCAACGGGUCAAACCCAUUGUCACCAGCAAGACUGCAAUACGUAUAAGAGAAUUAGUGACCAUAUCAUACCAUUCGGCAUUCACAUUAACUAAACCGGUAUUGAAUAAACCAGAUCUAACCUAAGCAAACCAAAAUGAUGAUUCAAUUACUACACACGUUAACUAAACCGGUUCCGAUCAAUCUAACCUAACCAUACCGAUUCAGCCUUUGAUUCCGGUUGUGCUAAACCGAAAUUGAGUGUAGUUUGCAAAAUUACCUGCCGGUGAGAUAAUCAGGGGAAGCCAAACCGGGCAACCACUCUCCUUUCUUAGCUUCAACCUUAAACGACGACGUUUUGGACGAAGAACCGAUAGAUUUAAACGACAAGUCGCGGUUCAACUUACCGGAAGAACCGGUGAGGAAUCUUGGCUUUGAAGUAGUACAAGGUCGGAAAAUCGAGGCCGAGGCAUGAGUAGUGACAGUCGCCAUUAUCCCUAGACUCAGAAGAUCCGACCCGAGAACCCGCUACUGUUAAAUGGUAAUCAAGAAAGAUUGAAAGAUGUGUUUCAGAGAUGGUUGUGAAGAACAGAGAUGACUCAAGAGUGGGGGAUUUGUAACUUUGCUGAAGAUGAAGUUUGUGGCUGUGGUUUAAUCAAUGAUUAUCUACCGUUGGAUUAGAUGACGUGGUUGAUUGAACGGAUGAGAUGGGUUUGAGGUGAGAUUUAGGCUUAUCUGUUUAUCUUCGAAGCGUAUCUUACAGAAGAUUGUUAUGUUCUUUGAGAUUGGUCGGAACAAGAUAGUGUCGGGUCCAUUGUUGUUACACGUGUCUGUGAUUCGGAUUUUAAAAUAUAAAGACUGAAGUGAGGAUUCUUG